AAUCUACAGGAAGGUCGGUCUCCAGGUGCAGGGAAAGUGACCACUGCAAUAAAGGAACUUCUUACUUCAUUGAACUGGAAUCAGUGCUCUUGUUCUGGGGAAAGAAAAGCAUCUUUCAAAUACAAAGCCAUUUUCUUCUUGGGAAUCAAAUAUCAACAGACAAGCUGGGACACACCGCAUCCAGAAGUGCUUUGCGGGAUUGGACAUGGCUAGAAAUGAGAGUAUUGGCUCUGUGCCUUGAGGUCAAGGCUGUUCACCAACUGUCAACUGCAAAUGUCACUUUUUCCCUCUCAGUUCUCUAUCGUUCAUGGAACAGUUAAAAAGAGGUGUGGCUGUUUAGAGGCUGCCGAAGGAACUUGCUUGUGCUUGGAGCUGGAGAACCACUUCUGCCUCUACCUGUCAGACAGGUAACGGCUGCAGCGCAGCGAACUUGAGAGUGGUAUGUGUGUGUGUGUGAAUGUGCUUGUGAACGCACAUUAACGCACAUGUGGGUAGCACAGGCACUUCACCUGCUUUCUAAUCACUUUACCUGUCAGUUGAAGGCUCACUCUCACAGUAAGGCUUAAGAGGAGAUGUGUUUGUUCUGCUCAUCUUACCUCAGGGCAGUCGAACAUCCUUGCACACAAAUAAAUGGUCUAUUAGAUAUGUAAAAACAA